AACGAACGCUGGCGGCAUGCCUAACACAUGCAAGUCGAACGAGACCUUCGGGUCUAGUGGCGCACGGGUGCGUAACGCGGGGGAACCUGCCCUUAGGUUCGGAAUAACUCCCCGAAAGGGGUGCUAAUACCGGAUAAUGUCUUCGGACCAAAGAUUUAUCGCCUUUGGAUGGGCCCGUGUUGGAUUAGCUAGUUGGUAGGGUAAAAGCCUACCAAGGCGACGAUCCAUAGCUGGUCUGAGAGGAUGAUCAGCCACACUGGGACUGCGACACGGCCCAGACUCCUACGGGAGGCAGCAGUGGGGAAUAUUGGACAAUGGGCGAAAGCCUGAUCCAGCAAUGCCGCGUGAGUGAUGAAGGCCUUAGGGUUGUAAAGCUCUUUUACCCGGGAUGAUAAUGACAGUACCGGGAGAAUAAGCUCCGGCUAACUCCGUG
rnacentral:rRNA from 1 species